ACGUAGGAGGCAAACGUUAUCCGGAUUUACUGGGCGUAAAGCGCGUGUAGGUGGCUCUGUAAGUCGGGCGUGAAAGCUCCUGGCUCAACUGGGAGUGGCCGUUCUAAACUGCAGAGCUAGAGGAUGGUAGAGGGAGGUGGAAUUCCGGGUGUAGCGGUGGAAUGCGCAGAUAUCCGGAGGAACACCAGUGGCGAAAGCGGCCUCCUUUUUUCUUCCUGACAUUUUUUCGCGAAAGCUUUUUUUGCUAUCGG
rnacentral:rRNA from 1 species